GGGUGAGUAAUGCAUCGGAACGUACCUUUCAGUGGGGGAUAACGUAGCGAAAGUUACGCUAAUACCGCAUAUUCUGUGAGCAGGAAAGCAGGGGAUCGCAAGACCUUGCGCUGAUGGAGCGGCCGAUGUCAGAUUAGCUAGUUGGUGGGGUAAAGGCUCACCAAGGCGACGAUCUGUAGCGGGUCUUAGAGGAUGAUCCGCCACACUGGAACUGAGACACGGUCCAGACUCCUACGGGAGGCAGCAGUGGGGAAUUUUGGACAAUGGGCGCAAGCCUGAUCCAGCCAUGCCGCGUGAGUGAAGAAGGCCUUCGGGUUGUAAAGCUCUUUCGGCCGGGAAAAAAUCGCUUGGGUUAAUACCCUGAGUGGAUGAUGGUACCGGAAUAAGAAGCACCGGCUAACUACGUGCCAGCAGCCGCGGUAAUACGUAGGGUGCGAGCGUUAAUCGGAAUUACUGGGCGUAAAGCGUGCGCAGGCGGUUUUGUAAGACAGGCGUGAAAUCCCCGGGCUCAACCUGGGAACUGCGUUUGUGACUGCAAGGCUAGAGUAUGGCAGAGGGGGGUGGAAUUCCACGUGUAGCAGUGAAAUGCGUAGAGAUGUGGAGGAACACCAAUGGCGAAGGCAGCCCCCUGGGCCAAUACUGACGCUCAUGCACGAAAGCGUGGGGAGCAAACAGGAUUAGAUACCCUGGUAGUCCACGCCCUAAACGAUGUCAACAAGGUGUUGGGUGGGUAAAACCAUUUGGUACCGUAGCUAACGCGUGAAGUUGACCGCCUGGGGAGUACGGCCGCAAGGUUAAAACUCAUGAAUUGACGGGGACCCGCACAAGCGGUGGAUGAUGUGGAUUAAUUCGAUGCAACGCGCAGAACCUUACCCACCUUUGACAUCCCGUGCUAUCUAGAGAGAUCUAGAGUCCCUUCGGGGCGCGGAGACAGGUGCUGCAUGGCUGUCGUCAGCUCGUGUCGUGAGAUGUUGGGUUAAGUCCCGCAACGAGCGCAACCCUCGCUUCUAGUUGCCAGCAUUCAGUUGGGCACUCUAGAGGAACUGCCUGCGCCAAGCAGGAGGAAGGCGGGGAUGACGUCAAGUCCUCAUGGCCCUUACAGGUGGGGCUACACACGUGCUACAAUGGCGGUGACAGAGGGAUAAUCCCUUAAAAGCCGUCUCAGUUUGGAUUGUCCUCUGCAACUCGAGGGCAUGAAGUUGGAAUCGCUAGUAAUCGCGGAUCAGCACGCCGCGGUGAAUACGUUCCCGGGCCUUGUACACACCGCCCGUCACACCAUGGGAGUUGGUUCUACCCGAAGACGGUAUCCCAACCGCAAGGAGGGAGCCGGCCACGGUAGUGUCAGCGACUGGGGUGAAGUCGUAACAAGGUA
rnacentral:rRNA from 1 species